AAGGAAUAUUGGACAAUGCUCGCAAGAGUGAUCCAGCCAUGCCGCGUGCAGGAAGACGGCCCUAUGGGUUGUAAACUGCUUUUGAACUAGAGAAAACCCCCCUUCGUGAAGGGGGCUGAUAGUAUAGUUAGAAUAAGCAUCGGCUAACUUCGUGCCAGCAGCCGCGGUAAGACGAAGGAUGCAAGCGUUAUCCGGAUUCAUUGGGUUUAAAGGGAGCGUAGGUGGAUUUGUAAGUCAGUGGUGAAAGCCGGCAGCUUAACUGUCGAACUGCCAUUGAUACUGCAGAUCUUGAGUAUGGUUGCUGUGGGCGGAAUAUGACAUGUAGAGGUGAAAUUCAUAGAGAUGUCAUAGAACACCGAUUGCGAAGGCAGCUCACAAAGCCAUUACUGACACUGAGGCUCGAAAGUGCGGGGAUCAAAC
rnacentral:rRNA from 1 species